AACGAACGCUGGCGGCAGGCCUAACACAUGCAAGUCGAACGCCGUAGCAAUACGGAGUGGCAGACGGGUGAGUAACACGUGGGAACAUACCCUUCGGUUCGGAAUAACUCAGGGAAACUUGAGCUAAUACCGGAUACGUCCGCGAGGAGAAAGAUUCAUCGCCGGAGGAUUGGCCCGCGUCUGAUUAGCUUGUUGGUGAGGUAACGGCUCACCAGGGCGACGAUCAGUAGCNGGUCUGAGAGGAUGAUCAGCCACAUUGGGACUGAGACACGGCCCAAACUCCUACGGGAGGCAGCAGUGGGGAAUAUUGGACAAUGGGCGCAAGCCUGAUCCAGCAAUGCCGCGUGAGUGAGGAAGGCCUUAGGGUUGUAAAGCUCUUUCACCCGCGACGAUGAUGAGGUAGCGGGAGAAGAAGCCCCGGCUAACUUCGUGCCAGCAGCCGCCGUAAG
rnacentral:rRNA from 1 species